rnacentral:rRNA from 1 species
UUGAACGCUGGCGGCAUGCCUUACACAUGCAAGUCGAACGGCAGCGCGGGGCAACCUGGCGGCGAGUGGCGAACGGGUGAGUAAUAUAUCGGAACGUGCCAUAGAGUGGGGGAGUAACUAGUCGAAAGACUAGCUAAUACCGCAUACGAUCUAAGGAUGAAAGUAGGGGGAGUCGCAAGACCUCACGCUCUUUGAGCGGCCGAUAUCUGAUUAGCUAGNGGUAGGGUAAAGCCUACCAAGGCGACGAUCAGUAGCUGGUCUGAGAGGAUGAUCAGCCACACUGGAACUGAAACACGGUCCAGACUCCUACGGGAGGCAGCAGUGGGAA